CGGGGCCGGGGCCGGGGCCGGGGCCGCGCUCCCAACGCGGUCCGUGGUUCGGCCGCGGCGGAGCCGGGUCCGCGGGUCCCGCACGGGAGCGUGCGGCUGCGGCUGGAGCGCUGUGUUUUCCUUAGAGUGCCGCCCUGGUUUAGCUCGAGGUGCGUUACGGGCGCUGAGUCAGUUACUCCAGGACGAGAGGUUUGCUUAAUGUUUCCAGCUCUGCUGGUUUUGCAACCGAGAGGGGCCAGAGUUUGUUGUUUUUAAAGUUAGAUUUGGAUAUUACAUAACUCGGGGCUGGAGCGCUGAGCACGUGCCCGGGCCUUAAUUCCUUUUGCCCAAGGAUAUGUCAGCCUUGUUGGCUAAGUUGUGGGUGAGAAGCCCAGAAGAGAACUGCUCCCUGUAACCCGACGUUGUACCGCUCCUAAUGUCCUAUUUGUCCAUCUCAAAGGGGCAGGUUUUGCCCUCUAGAUGUACAGGUAAAGCUCACACAUCUCUAAAUAAAACUGAAAGUUAAGCCCUUUGCUUGUGGGCAAAAAGUAACAAUUAUUACCUAACUUCUGCAGUAAUGAGUGCACACGUUAAUGCUCCACCCUCUGUCAAAUAUGGCUUGUGGUUCAAGUUUAAUCUGCUGUUAAAACUCAGGAGUGCCCACAGCCAUUUGUGAGUAGAAACAGUGGAGAAACAUUUUGAAUUACCUGGUCUGGAUAAUGAACUGUCCUUCAGCUGAGCUGCUUUUAGAACAGUUUCUAUCCUAAAUACAGUAGAUCAGAAUUCAUCUUUAGGGAUGCCUGUCUCAGCACAGACUACUGACAGGGUAGGGUAUGCUAUACAAACUCUCAACCACAACUUCAGGCUGAGCUUCGUAAAAAAACGUUCUAUGAAGUUAGGGCAGUAAAGAUAGUAGAGAGAGCAAGGCCAGCACACUUGAAAGUUGUAAUGUCCUCAGGACAGCUUGUGAAUGUUGGCUGAUAGAGAUGCUCAUCUUUAUGAGAAUAUAUUUAUAUAUUGUUUUCUUGUAUUGAACUUUUAAUAGAAUGUUAGAAGCAAAUAAUUUUUUAUAAGAUACCAUAAUGUAUACCAUGUCAGAGGAGCUUACCCUACAUCCAACAAGGGGGCUUCUUGUGAUUUUUCAAGCAGCUUUGGCUUAGAUUUUAAACCUCUCUGGUCUGUACCAAAAAGAUGUGGUUUGUGAUUACAACCAUCUGUCUGUCAGCUAAGUGCAUUCCCUUACCCUGUGCUGAUAGCCUGCCUAGUGGGAAAAUACCACACCGUUGUUGAAGUCACAGGGAGCCAAGGCCACGCUGGGGCUUGCAUGGCUGAAGUGGUGAAUGCCACUGCCCUGGUUCCCUGUCCACCUUCUUUUUGCAGCCUUUUGUGCAUGCAGCUGUGGCAGGUGACUGCAGAAAUGCAUCUGUGCUGAAGUUACAAGUUUACAGACUAGAACCUGAGAGUAAAAUGAAAUUUGCAGCAUUUUGCAUGGGUCUGUCACACUCAGCUGGUGGACAUAACCUGAAUGCUCUGGAUUAUAUAUUUAUAACUUCAUUUUCUUGCAAGACUAUGUGGCUGUAGACUGGCUAAGCAGCCUGGUUUGAAAACUGUGACUGGCCCAACUAACAAAGUCAUUCUUUACACAUCUAGACAUCAAGGACUGAGAAAUUUGAGAAUAUGGGUCGUUGUGAUUAUUUUUUUGUCCCACCAGGCCCCGUCAUGCCACAGAGAAUGGUGAGAUAACAAGUAGAGGAAAACAGACAGGAAGGCUUGACAAGGGUUAAGCAGCAGCAAUGAAAAGCUCACUGGGAUUACAAGCAUUCAGAUGAGCUGCAGAAGGAGAAUUGUUUAGUUGUGAGAAGGCAGAAAUGGAGGAGAGAGCAGGCAUGUGGGAGAGGAAGUUGCCUUGAUCACAGGAUUUCCGUCACUCUCCACUGCAAGAGCAUGCAUGGGUGGAGCAAGCAGUGAAGCACAUCCCUGGCCUACAGAAGUUACAGAAGAUGCUUCAGACCAGCCUUUUAGUUAUCAGAAAUAUUAUUUCAAGCUCUGUAAAGACAAUAAACAUAAUGAUAUUAACACAUUGUUUUAAGGUCAGGUUUAUGCAAUCCAAGGCUUUAGAAGAAACCUUUGAGAUUCUACAACUGUUGAACGGCUUUGUUAGGGAGCACAAAAUGUUCUUUUCUCUUAACGUGUGGGGCCACUUUAAAUUUGUGCUUCUGCAUUAUUAAACCAUCGUGGGAAGUGCAGCAGGAGGAAACCCGGGUAAUUGGCUGCAGCUCCAGAUGCAGCCGCUCGCUCAUUGGAGAGAGGAGGAUUCUCCCCGUACUAAAAUUAGAGCAUCUCCGCCCUCCAGAAAUGCUUCUGGAAACAGCGAGCGGGAGGAAUUGUGACACAGCCCGAGGAGCCGUGGUGGGCAGGGAGCUGUGCAGGGCCCUGCUCCCAAACUGCAGCCUCGGGCUGCACUGGAAGGUGCUUUGGGUGGCUGGAAAAAAACAUGCACACAGUAAAGAAACUGCGAGAGAUUCACGUUAAUACUGAAACACGGAUAUUAAAUUCAACAUUACUUAUGUAAUAAUAAUUCUGAAGUGUUCAUGCAGGCAGAGGAAGCCUUUGAACUGCUAAAUUUAAGCAAGGGCUGUCAGACUUGUGCUCAUUGACUUUGAAAAGAUAUGACUUCCUGAAUUAACUCUGAACUAAGCUAAAAAAACUGGUGGACUCUUUCUAUCAGCAUUUCUUUAAAAAUAAAACAUGUUUAUCCAUUAUCUCUGUGAAGUUGCAGUGUUUACAAUGCUUUCAAAUGAAAUAUUGGAUACGGUUAAAGAAACAAAUGCCAUGUGCCCGUGUUGGUGAAGGAAAGCCUGUAUCUGAAUUUGUCUUGUGCACUUGGAACCUUUAUUUUUUAAGGUUAUGAAUAACAGUGUCAGUCUUUGGUUUUUAGAUAUAUUUCAAGUUGGUUGCAAGGAAAUACCUGCAUAUUUUUAUUUCUUGUUUCUAUAUUUAUAUUAUUCACAUUACUCAUGAAAAAGAUUAAGGCAAAAUGGGUUUUUCUUACACUAAAACAGGCUUUUGCUGUAAAUUUGCUAUUUCCUCACCUAACCAGGGCACAUAGUGUCAGCACCUCUGGCUCCAAAUCCUAGGGGAUUUUUUGUCUUUUCUCCUUUGCCUCUACUUUCAGUCUGAUACCAUUAAAAUUUAAAGCCUGCACACG